GACGAACCGUCCUAACGUUGUUCGGAAUCACUGGGCUUAAAGGGCGCGUAGGCGGACCACCAAGUCCGGGGUGAAAUCUUUCGGCUUAACCGGAAAAGUGCCUUGGAUACUGGUGGUCUCGAGUGAGGUAGGGGCAUGUGGAACUUCUGGUGGAGCGGUGAAAUGCGUUGAUAUCAGAAGGAACUCCGGUGGCGAAAGCGACGUGCUGGACCUCUUCUGACGCUGAGGCGCGAAAGCUAGGGGAGCGAACAGG
rnacentral:rRNA from 1 species